rnacentral:rRNA from 1 species
UACGUAGGAGGCAAGCGUUGUCCGGAAUUACUGGGCGUAAAGCGCGUGUAGGUGGUGGGACAAGUCUGCUGUGAAAGCGCCUGGCUUAACCGGGCGAGGUCGGCGGAAACUGUCCGACUCGAGGACGGUAGAGGGGGGUGGAAUUCCCGGUGUAGUGGUGAAAUGCGUAGAGAUCGGGAGGAACACCAGUGGCGAAGGCGGCCUUCUGGACCAAUACUGACGCUCAUGCACGAAAGCGUGGGGAGCAAACAGG